CCCAACUAUCCCUAUUAAUCAUUACGGUGAUCCUAGAAACCAACGAAAUAGAAUCAGUCCGUCCUAUUUCAUUAUUCCAUGCUAAUGUAUUCAGACGAUAGUCUGCUUUAAACACUCUAAUUUUUUCAAAGUAACAGUCCUGAUUUCCCAUCACACCAAAUAAAUGGCAUGAAAGUUCCUCAGAAGGUAGAGAUCCAUCUCACCAGUGCAGACAAUUAAGCCUGACCAAUGGGUAGACCCCGAAGUUCAACUACGAGCUUUUUAACUGCAACAACUUUAAUAUACGCUAUUGGAGCUGGAAUUACCGCGGCUGCUGGCACCAGACUUGCCCUCCAA
rnacentral:misc_RNA from 2 species